GAUCAAGGCGGCAAAGGCGCCAAAAACGCGUCCAGAGGCGUUCAACGCGGACGCUCAGAAUUUUUUUUUUUUUUUUUUUAACACCAAAACGACGUCGUUUUGGUGUUGUUGGGAAUUAAAACUCCCUUAGGUCUCGAGCUGCAGUCAUUUUCGAGUUGCUUCAGCCUCCUUCAUCAAAACUCCUACUCCUUCACUUCCAAAUCUCAAUUCCCAAGCAGCAAAUUUGAUAAAAUGAUCAAGAGCCCAUUGGUUUUCUCAAGGAUUUUGCAUUUCGCUCUAAAGGAGGCUGUUUGCAGAAUUGGAGCAAGAAAUUUUCACUUUCAGAGUUGAUUUGAUUUGAAGAGUUUAAGCCUUUAAGGCAACAAUGUAAUAUAGCUCUUUAUACGUAAGGCUUACGCCUUACGCCUCAAGGCGAACGCCUUACUGAGGCUCUCUCAAAAACGCCUCGGCUACGCCUUAGCCUUUUAAAAUAUUGCUCUUAAGUGAAAGAGGUCUUAAAAGAUACUAAGCUCAGCUGGAAAAGAGGCGGGAGUGAGAUUUUGCUCAUGUAUUGAUCAAGUGCUAUCAGGUGCUCAUUCUCUUUGAGUUCACUUUCAUAAUUUGUGUUUUACUUGAAUUUCUAUGUGUGUGUGGAUGAGAAAAUGUAUAAGUUUAUUAUAGGUUCUGAUAUACGUGUCGACUCUGGUACUAUGUUGAUAUUGUGAGACUGAGAAUUUUGGUGAAUCUGAUUAUUUCUCCUUUGGAAGUA